rnacentral:tRNA from 11 species
GGGGCCGUAGCUCAGUUGGGAGAGCGCCGCAAUCGCACUGCGGAGGUCAGGGGUUCAAAUCCCCUCGGCUCCACCA